rnacentral:sRNA from 1 species
UCCUAAUACGGGAGGAAAUCCGUGUGGA